AAUUCCUUGUAACAAACCAAGCAUGAUGAUGAUUUCACCUCCUUCAAUGCCUUAGCACUCAAAACAUGGCCACAAUUCUUCAAAGCAAAAAACUUAUACUUCCCAUUGAAUUCCAACCCUGUUAUCGGGCAAUGAAAUCUUGCAUUAUUUGAUUCCUCACCAGGAAUUGGUUCUAGCUUGAUAUUUAACAUAUCCUUUAAACCCUUUAUGUAUCCGAACUCCUUGGGUAAUUUUUUGCCUAUCAAAGCCUCUACCAACGCCUCCUUGUUGAAUAUAUUACCAAGGCGAUCGAUAACGCAGGGCUGCGUCAAGGGCUCGUUGGAGAGAGCGCAAUUGAGCCAUUUCGAAAGUCUCUGCUCGUUCGGAUCAACCUUAUCAGGCUUUUUGUCCGCGUACAUGUUCAGAUAGCAGUCACGGGACUCAGCACCCGUUGCACCGCCAUCGCCACCGCCUCCAGGGAGGCGAGAGUGCAAAACGAGGGUGGAAAGACGAGAAAUUUUAUGAUUUGGAAUAAGAGUAGAAUCAUGAAGGGGUUUUCCAUUGAGAGUGAAGUAGAAAGAGGAGAGAUUUCGAUUAUUGGGGAAAAGAGAGAGCUUGAGGCUGUGAAGGGUUAUGGCUUUGGGGUGGUCU
rnacentral:misc_RNA from 1 species